UACGUAGGGGGCAAGCGUUGUCCGGAUUUAUUGGGCGUAAAGAGCGUGUAGGCGGCCAGAUAGGUCCGUUGUGAAAACUGGAGGCUUAACCUCCAGCGGUCGAUGGAAACCAUUUGGCUAGAGUCCGGAAGAGGAGAGUGGAAUUCCUGGUGUAGCGGUGAAAUGCGCAGAUAUCGUAAGGAAGACCAGUGGCGAAGGCGGGUCUCUGGACAGUUCCUGACGCUGAGGCACGAAGGCCAGGGGAGCAAACGGG
rnacentral:rRNA from 1 species